UACGGAGGAUGCGAGCGUUAUCCGGAUUUAUUAGGUUUAAAGGGUGUGUAGGCGGAAAACUAAGUCAGUGGUGAAAUCUCCCGGCUUAACCGGGAAACUGCCAUAGAUACUGGUUUUCUUGAGUACAGUUGAAGUAGGCGGAAUGUGUAAUGUAGCGGUGAAAUGCUUAGAUAUUACACAGAACACCGAUUGCGAAGGCAGCUUGCUAAGCUGUUACUGACGCUGAUGCACGAAAGCGUGGGGAUCGAACAGGAUUAGAUACCCUGGUAGUCCACGCCGUAAACGAUGAUUACUCGUUGUUGGCGAUAUAAAGCCAGCGACUGAGCGAAAGCAUUAAGUAAUCCACCUGGGGAGUACGGCGGCAACGCUGAA
rnacentral:rRNA from 1 species